rnacentral:rRNA from 1 species
GACGAACGCUGGCGGCGUGCCUAAUACAUGCAAGUAGAACGCUGAAGAGAGGAGCUUGCUCUUCUUGGAUGAGUUGCGAACGGGUGAGUAACGCGUAGGUAACCUGCCUUGUAGCGGGGGAUAACUAUUGGAAACGAUAGCUAAUACCGCAUAACAAUGGAUGACCCAUGUCAUUUAUUUGAAAGGGGCAAAUGCUCCACUACAAGAUGGACCUGCGUUGUAUUAGCUAGUAGGUGAGGUAACGGCUCACCUAGGCGACGAUACAUAGCCGACCUGAGAGGGUGAUCGGCCACACUGGGACUGAGACACGGCCCAGACUCCUACGGGAGGCAGCAGUAGGGAAUCUUCGGCAAUGGGGGCAACCCUGACCGAGCAACGCCGCGUGAGUGAAGAAGGUUUUCGGAUCGUAAAGCUCUGUUGUAAGUCAAGAACGAGUGUGAGAGUGGAAAGUUCACACUGUGACGGUAGCUUACCAGAAAGGGACGGCUAACUACGUGCCAGCAGCCGCGGUAAUACGUAGGUCCCGAGCGUUGUCCGGAUUUAUUGGGCGUAAAGCGAGCGCAGGCGGUUUGAUAAGUCUGAAGUUAAAGGCUGUGGCUCAACCAUAGUUCGCUUUGGAAACUGUCAAACUUGAGUGCAGAAGGGGAGAGUGGAAUUCCAUGUGUAGCGGUGAAAUGCGUAGAUAUAUGGAGGAACACCGGUGGCGAAAGCGGCUCUCUGGUCUGUAACUGACGCUGAGGCUCGAAAGCGUGGGUAGCAAACAGG